CACGUAGGGACCAAGCGUUGUCCGGAUUCAUUGGGCGUAAAGAGCUCGUAGGCGGUUCGAUAAGUCGGGUGUGAAACCUCCAGGCUCAACCUGGAGACGCCACCCGAUACUGUCGUGACUAGAGUCCAGUAGGGGAGCGUGGAAUUCCUGGUGUAGCGGUGAAUGACGCAGAUAUCAGGAGGAACACCAGUGGCGAAGGCGGCUCACUGGCCCGAUACUGACGCUGAGGCACGAAAGCGUGGGGAGCAAACAGG
rnacentral:rRNA from 1 species